CAAGAAAUGUUUUUAACAUUAUAUGAAAUUGAUUCUUGGUUUAUGAGUUCUAACUUUACAAAUGCACUCAAGAAUGAAUUAACUCAUGAAAUUGGGAACUACCUGUACAUGCUUUCCAUGCUUAGUCAUUUGGAACAUUGUCAUGCCUCAUCACACCACCCAUACUCAUCAAGUAUUUCGUCUCCACUACAUUCAAAUAUGAAUGUAGUGGAAAUGCUUAAUGUGUUUUAUACUAUACCUAAUUCUUACUCCCAUGCAUCAAAGUUUGAAUCAAUAUAUUCUAUUUUAGCACUCUAACAGAUUCACAAUCC
rnacentral:lncRNA from 1 species